rnacentral:rRNA from 1 species
AAGACCCCGUGAACCUUUACUAUAGCUUGACACUGAACAUUGAGCCUUGAUGUGUAGGAUAGGUGGGAGGCUUUGAAGUGUGGACGCCAGUCUGCAUGGAGCCGACCUUGAAAUACCACCCUUUAAUGUUUGAUGUUCUAACGUUGGCCCGUUAUCCGGGUUGCGGACAGUGUCUGGUGGGUAGUUUGACUGGGGCGGUCUCCUCCUAAAGAGUAACGGAGGAGCACGAAGGUUGGCUAAUCCUGGUCGGACAUCAGGAGGUUAGUGCAAUGGCAUAAGCCAGCUUGACUGCGAGCGUG